rnacentral:rRNA from 1 species
UACGUAGGGACCAAGCGUUGUUCGGAUUUACUGGGCGUAAAGGGCGCGUAGGCGGCAAUUCAAGGCAGUUGUGAAAUCUCCGAGCUUAACUCGGAACGGUCAACUGAUACUGUCUUGCUAGAGUACAGAAGGGGCAAUCGGAAUUCUUGGUGUAGCGGUGAAAUGCGUAGAUAUCAAGAGGAACACCUGAGGUGAAGACGGGUUGCUGGGCUGAUACUGACGCUGAGGCGCGAAAGCUAGGGUAGCAAACGGG